UCCCUGGUAGUAUAUCGGCUAGUACACGCGCCUGUCAUUUCAACUCACAUUGGCUGUUGGUCGCGCGAAAGCGGGGUUCGACUCCCCGCCAGGGAG